rnacentral:rRNA from 1 species
UACGGGGGGGAGCAAGCGUUGUUCGGAUUUACUGGGCGUAAAGGGCGCGUAGGCGGUCGUGACAAGUCACUUGUGAAAUCUCCGGGCUUAACUCGGAACGGUCAAGUGAUACUGUCGGACUAGAGUACAGAAGGGGCAACUGGAAUUCUCGGUGUAGCGGUGAAAUGCGUAGAGAUCAGCAGGAACACCCGUGGCGAAGGCGGCCCCCCUGGGCCGUACCUGACGCUGAGGCACGAAAGCGUGGGGAGCAAACAGG